ensembl:lncRNA
CGCUGCUCUCACUGGAGUGCUCUGGCCCUUUUUUUUCCUCCACGCUUUUCCCCCCCGAUAAUAAAUAACCCCCACGGGUCUUUACAUCUGCUUAUCACUCCUGCCACGGUAAUCUAACACAGACGUUUGUUGGGCCUGACAUUUAUACAGAAGACACGGAGAACAUUCCCUUUUCUCAUCCUGGAUCUGCUCCAGUCUGCUGUGCAAAGGCCCCGUGGCAACGUACGUCAUUAAAGCAGAGUAAAGUGUGCACGGCGCUUUGGUAUUUGAGAAAACGUUCAUCAACUGAUUGCAAUCAUCUAAACGCGCGAAAGAGAGAAAGAGACCAGCUCUUUUCUCCUCACCUGCGUGCUUCUCAUCUUUAGCUUCAACAGCAGUCGCCCGCUGAGUGUCUGAUGUACUUCUUUGACCCCUGUAAGCGUUCUGAACCCCCCCUCUGAUCGUCACAUUGCACACAGCUCAAAGGGUUGCACGUGGAGAUAACGACACAUGGAGGGCCGGAAAAAAACAGAAAACAUGCAGGACUCGUUUCUUGGGAUUAGAUAACUCUCCCCCAUAGGAGUUUCAGCACAUGGUAAGCUCAAAGAGCCGAGUCGAAGAGAAUUCUGCAGCUGGAAAUGUAAAAUAUGCUCCGCCUGAGGAAUUCCAUGUCAGCAGAGAACCUCAGCUCAAGUGAAAAACUUUGAGAGUGGUAUUUACACUCAACACGU